UUUCCUGUGUCAAAAGGUUAACUUCGCUAAUGGUGAUUGCAACCCCACGCAAAAAGUGCUCACAUAUUUUCUCAGGUAAAGUUAUUUGCACUGAUUGUCUAAAUAUUGUGAGUAGUAAAUUAAUGAGAAAAUGUGUUUUCAUUGAAUUGUUCGUGUUUAAAGUGACAAAAUUUCCUGCUGUGUAGUUUCAACCUGGCUGGUGGUAGGCUAAUGUGGAAGACUACCUCGUGUUUAAGCUAGCGCCCUUGGAAGGCGAAAUGAGUUUUCACGGUGCUUAUGGUGCUCAAGGUGCAAGAACUGAGCCGGAAGAAUAAAGGCACCCGUUUGAAACUCCACGUCUGACUAAUUCAUUCCAAGAGGCCGCUACACAUGUGAAUGAGGAGUACAGGAGAUUGAAGAAUGGUGGGCAGCUGAUUCAAAGCCUAAAGCAGGAGGCAACCCUGGGGAUGAACUGGAUAAAUUUACAACAGUCUAAGGUGCAAGAGACCAGCAAAUGGAGAAAACAACUACCUGACAAGAGUAAAUAUGGACUGAUACGCCGUAGCAGUUGACCCACAAAAUGACUGAGCAGUGAACAUCACCAUCGAAAGCCGUCAGAGGGCACUCUAGGCUAGCGACACAGAGAAUGAAGAAUUCCAUGGAUUCAGUGAUGUGAUAUGAGAUCGGGAGCUUGGUGAACUUGCUUAUUGGUAACUUGCUUGUUGGACUCGCCUCUCAGGUAUGUUCUUUAUGAUACUGUGUAUAUGAAUAACUGUCAGUAUAUUAUGUUAACAUACCGGACACCUAUUCACCUGCUGUGUAGUUGAUUAACUUGCCUUUCCAGG